rnacentral:SRP_RNA from 1 species
GCCGGGCGCGGUGGCUCACGCCUGUAAUCCCAGCACUUUGGGAAGCUGAGGGCAGAUCACGAGGUCAGAGAUCGCGACCAUCCUGGCUAACACAGUGAAACCCCGUCUCUAUUAAAAAAAAUACAAAAAGAAAAAAAAUUAGCUGGGCGUCGUGGCGGGCGCCUGUAGUCCCAGCUACUCGGGAGGCUGAGGCANNNNNNNNNNUUCUCCUGCCUCAGCCUCCCGAGUAGCUGGGACUACAGGCGCCCGCCACGACGCCCAGCUAAUUUUUUUUCUUUUUGUAUUUUUUUUAAUAGAGACGGGGUUUCACUGUGUUAGCCAGGAUGGUCGCGAUCUC